rnacentral:siRNA from 1 species
AAGGUAUACUAGUUUUGUAAUCCC